rnacentral:tRNA from 1 species
GCGAAGGUAGCGAAGCGGUCAAACGUGCUGGCCUCAAGAGCCAAUCUCUUAGUGAGUUCGCAGGUUCGAAUCCUGCCCUUCGCA